GACAGAGGGGGCAAGCGUUGCUCGGAAUUACUGGGCGUAAAGGGCGCGUAGGCGGGAUGGCAAGUCGGUCGUGAAAGCCUUCGGCUCAACCGAAGAACGUCGGCCGAUACUGCCGUUCUUGAGGGAUGCAGAGGAGACUGGAAUUCCCGGUGUAGCGGUGAAAUGUGUAGAGAUCUGGAGGAACACCGGUGGCGAAGGCGGCAUCCUGGACCGGUAUUGACGCUGAGGCGCGAAAGCCAGGGGAGCAAACGGG
rnacentral:rRNA from 1 species